rnacentral:snRNA from 1 species
GUGCUUGCUUCAGCAGCACAUAUACUAAAAUUGGAACAAUACAGAGAUUAGCAUAGCCCCUGCGCAAGGAUGACACACAAAUCCGUGAAGCGUUUCAUAUUUUU